GAUACAGACUCUCUACUUAGUGGCUCGGAGAGAGGACCGAGGCUCACAGCUUCUCAAUGAGGGGACGCGGCCACGAGGAGACAGAGCAGUCAUUCCUCGGGAGCCUUCCGCUGCAUGCGUGACAAAGUGUGUGAGGGUGUACAAAAGAAGCUCCCGGUCAUCGCAACAUAGGGCUUGGAGGAGAGGAGAGCAAGGCAACGGCUGAGGCAGAAGGAGAGGAAAAGAGAGCUCCACGUGUGAAGCUGAUACAGCAGUGACAUGAUGAGCCGCCGCUUGCGUCAAGCAGACCUGAGGCUGCGCUGGGCUCGGUGACUCUUUGUGUUUCCGAGGAAUUCAAAAGAAGACCAUCCAGGGACUAUCCAGAAAAUUAAAAAAAGAACCGCCUUUUGGCUAAUCUGGAAUUUCAGGCAGGCAUCCCAGGUUUCCACAGUAUGGGUGAAUAUAAAGAGGCGUGAGUCCGCUGGGGGAAGCAUCCAUUCGAACCGAGCCUUGGUCCUCCUCAACUUACUGCUCAGAAUGUCCUGGUUUUUGGCCAUGUGGGUCAACCUCAGCUUCUUGUUGUUGUGUCAGGCUACACUCUACCAGACCAUCCAGCAGCACCAUGUGGCCCGGCCUGGCCGCACUGACAUUCUCACCCUGGAGGGAGGUACGUGUGAGGUGAUUGCAGCCCACAGAUGCUGUAACAAGAAUCGCAUAGAGGAACGCUCUCAGACCGUCAAGUGCUCCUGUUUACCAGGCAAAGUGGCAGGGACAACGCGCAACAAACCCUCCUGUGUGGAUGCAUCCAUUGUAAUUGGGAAAUGGUGGUGUGAGAUGGAACCAUGUCUGGAGGGAGAAGAUUGCAAGACUCUGCCUGACAAUUCUGGAUGGAUGUGCUCCUCUGGGAAUAAAAUCAAGACCACAAGGAACACCCAGCCAUACUCCCCUUUUUAGCUUCUGGAAGCAAAAUGCAGAGGAAACGGCAACCGAAAUUGAGCUGCAUUCUUGCUUCUAUAAAGAUUCAUCCCAGGACCUAACAACGAGCUCCCAUCGCAGGACUUUGCGCCACCCUUUCUCUUCCUGACGAAUAGUGUAAACCUAUUACAUCCAAGGCUGGUGACUGGAUUACCUGGGACCACAGAAAGGAUAUCCACCUAGAUAAAACAGCUUUGCUCAUGUGGUGCCAAGGAUUUCAAACCGCGCUAAUCCCCUGUUUGAUCAAGGAGCCCCAUGUUGAUGAAUCUCCUCAUCCACACAGCUGUGGCCAGCUAGCCACCAACUCUCUCCCAGUUCUUUCUCACUCUGUGUGUCUCUCAAAAACUGAAGCAGCUCAGUCGGGGUCAUUAUGAGGUUGUUUGAACAUUAUAUGAAGACUUUCACCCCGCCUGUCUAAAAGGUAAAGACAUUGAGAAGCUCAUGCGGACUUGAGCAUGGAAAGAAGAGCACAAAGAUGGAAAAGUACCCUGAUUUCCCUUUUCUGUCUUGCGUGGAUAGCUGCUUUUGUGUUUAACUUGCUUACAAGAUGGCUUUGUCAGGACUACCUAGGAAUGAGAAAGAAUGAGCAGCCUAUAAGGAGUUCAUCAAGGUUUUCUUUUUUUAUGACUUGAAGGUCUGCCCUUAUGGUCUCACCUUUGUGGCCGAUAAUGAACAUUUGAUUUGACUUAUUGACCUUAAAGAAAUGUACAUUCUACAGCGCUAGUUUUAUUUGUAUGUAAGAACACAUGUGUGUGUGUAUAUACAUAAUUAUAUGAAUAAAAGACAUGUAAGACAGCAGAUCGAACAAACUGAAAGGUAUAUUGAAGACUCUAUUAGGAGUUUAACCCCACACAUUGUUUUUUUUCUCUUUGGAGUAAAAGUGGAAUUCAUACUUGUGGAGAGCCCUGCAUUGACGUGUACAGGAACGCUUCACUUGUAAUGGAAAAGGUACAAAGAUAACUGUAAAAAUAAGUAUCUGUCACUGGUCAUUUUGCAGUGUUGGUGGUCAAGCCAGAACAUGCUGGUAAAGAUGAGGAAAACACUGUAUAGGACUGCCUCACUAAUCAACAUUGUCUGAGGUUUCAACUCAGAUUGGCAACCAUUGCAAAAAAUAAAACAACAACUGCAGGUAAUUGGAUCAUUAAUGUGUCUCUUGCUGCUGAAAGUGGUCAUAAGUAAUCUGUGAACGUUUGCUGUGUAGAUGUAUUUUCACACACCAGACUGUGACAAUUCAGGUGAAAUAUUCCAAAACACAGAGAGCAGGUAUUGAUAACUACAGCGAGAAAUACUGUUAUCCCCUAGUAGAGAUACAAGUACAUUACAGGAGAGCCUCUUGAGA